rnacentral:lncRNA from 1 species
GAAUCUUAAGUCAGUCUUGUGGAAUACUAAAUAUUUCUGACAAAAGGCUAUAGGAGUCUGAAGCCAUUCUUAUCCUCUCAGUGUCCCCUUAGAAGUAUUUACAAGUCAGAUGCCAUCUCUAGAUGGUGUCUCUAAAUGUGUCAUUCCUGGAGAGACAGGAGAAUGACUCCGGUGUCCUUCCACUUGACUGGCGGGGACCUAUUCACUAUGA